AUGUCUCAAACACAGUGUCCCUGCUGAGGCCCAGCCCUCCAACUUGCUCAGGAUGAUCUGGAUGUUCACGGAUUCCUUUUGAGUUGAAAGAAACAGAUGCAGCCAGGUCCUGCCCUGCAAUGGAAGGUUCUGCAAUGGAAGGGCAUCGUUGCCUAUGAGCAAGUAAGCGGAGCAGACCCUGCUCUUUCCUCCUCCCCCGCUGACAGGGUUGUUUUGUCGUCGGAGUCCUUAUGAAAGCCUUCGCGGCCUGGCCUUGUGCCGGGAUGUGCGAGCAGCAGCCCUGCUGAUGGCACUGGAGGCAGAAGUGACAGCGAACGACCGCAGCAGAAUGUUUCCUAAAUCAAAGCCUUUAAAAAGCAUAUGGGGUACAAGCAACGAGGAGCCGGAGUGUGAGAGCACGACGCCCUUGCGCUGUGUUUAUGGCAUUCUGAUAGUAGGGUUGCCGUAUUCCUUACAGACAGUAAGGCACCUGAGAAAAUGUUGAGCACAUAACAUGGUGACAUCUUAAAGCUGUCAUCCUAAAGGACCCUUUCCCCGGGGCAGAGGACAAGACUCCAAAAUGUGUUUCAGCACCACCACCACCUGCCCCCUAUACAUCCUGCAAAAUCCUCCAAACUGUGGAGAGGAUGGACUUUACUCCCAUCAUUAGGUUACAUUAGAAGGCACAGCUGGCCUUAAAAUAAGAAGAAUAACUAGGUGGGUAGGACCUAAUCCUAAAAGCCCCUUAAAAAAAGAGCGUCCUCUAGCUGCUGACCGAAGGGGAAGUCAGGGAUCUCAAGCAGAAGUAUUCAAGGCACCACUGAUGACUUGAAGAGGGAGGAGGCCACUUAUCAAGAAAUUUGGCGGCUUCUAGGAGAAGCAGCUCUGGGGACUACCAGAAACGAAAAAGGGAUCAGUCCUAUAACCACAAGGAACUGACAACAAGAAUGGGCUUGGAAAUGGAUUCUUCCCCAGAGCCUCCAGAUGAGAGCGUAGGCGAGUUAACACCUUGAUUUUAGCCUUGGGAUCCUCUGAGCGAGAACCCAGCCUCUCCAUACCGGAUUCAAACCGUGACUUGUGAGAUACUAAGCUGCUAAGUUUGUAGGGAAUCUGAAUGCAACAAGAGGAAACAAAUACAGAUCAAUGAAGAAUAUGUGGUUCAGAUUUAGGACUUAAUCUUUCGUGCUUCCCACCUUAUUUCCUUUUCGUUUCACAUUACCUUCUUCAUCUUUUUUUUUUUUUUUGGCCAAUUUACUAUCUUGAUUACUAGGAACCAGAGAGAAUUUGACUGUACCUAAGUGCUAAUAAAAUAAAAUAAAAUAUAAGAAAAAUGUAAAGUCUGUACCUGCUUCUGCCACUUAGUUUGUGUGGCUUUGGGAAAGUUGUUUAGCCUCCUUAUACCUCAGUUUCGCAUCUAUAAAUAACGUUUAUAAGGCUUACUUGCUGCACUGAAGUUAGACUCAAGUCACAUGAUGUAUGCGUGCUUCAUACGUGCUUUAUGAAGUAUAAAGCUGUAUAUAAAUAUAAGCAACUAUGGGUUUGAAGCCAGAACCACCGGCAGGGUACCUGGGGCAGCCAGGUGAGCCAGCAGAGGUGAAAGUCCCAGCUAGAAUAUCGAGGAACCUAAGAGAGAGGAGAAAAUUAAUAAGAAGAGCCCUUGGAGAAAGCACUGGGGAGCAGUUGCAAGGACUCUUUCUCCUCUUGACUGUGCUUUCAGUCUAAAGACUGAAAAUAAAAAAAAAGCAGACUGGGAAGCGCGCGAGACGAAUUCUCAGUAUCACCAACCCCAGGGUUUAAAAUCCUAGAUGAGGAAAGAAGUAAUAUGACCUCCAGAAUGGCCAACCAAAUCGUUUUAGAAAGCUAAAGACAAAAGGAAGCCUGCCACACUGCUGCAGCGAGGACAUUGGGUAAUGAGGACAAUUAGACAGAACAAAUGAAUGAAAUCAAACACCUCCAAGGCAGAGGAGAAGCAGAAGGAAAUUUCUUUUGGGGAAAUGUUAUCAUUGGCUAAAGACAGAACACGCCUGUGCUUCACAGUGGUGUGGGAACAGUCUCGGGCGGUAAAGAGAUGGUUGGAAAGGAAGGCUACAGGCCCUGUGGCAGCAUAUGGAAAUUCAAUCUAUAACAAAGAAAAUCAGACAAGAGAUGGGUGAUAAGCACGCCCAUGAAGGACAAAAAGACAGAUGUAAAAAUCUGAUGAGUUCUCCAACUUCUGACAGCAUCCAAAUUAGCACAGUGUUUAUUAUGGAUCAGAUUAAAUAGCUACACAGAGAAAUACUUGGGAGAAGAUUCGGAAAAGGAAGAACCAGCACCAAUGCUAUAUUUACUCAACAAUAACAACAAAGUGUUUUGUUUCCUGCCUCUUCCAUUGUUUCUCGACAAGGAAGCUGCAUUUUAAAAACAUGAACCCAGUAGCUGAAAGAUGGACACAACCCAGUCUCUGUCAACAGAUAAAUGGAUAAACAAAACGUGGCGUGCGAUACAAUGGAAUAUUAUCCCGCCGUAGAGAGGAAUGCAGUUGUGCCACAUGCUACAACACAGAUGAACCCUGCAGACGUUGUGGCCUUGAAGGAAGCACGGCAUCACAUUUUCUCAGCCUGUGGAGAUGCUUUAACAAGUAGCCAGCUGGGAUGUAAAGGCAGCUGCUCUUAUUUAAGAACAAUAUGAGAACCAACUGCCUGAAUGGCUCUUCUGUGACAUAAAAGCAAGAAAGAGAGAACACAAGCAAGGGGAGUAGCAGGCAGAGAAAUGGGGAGAAGGAGGCUCUCCACUGAGCCGGAAGCCAGAGGUGGAGCUUGAUCUCUGGACCCUGGGAUCACAACCUGAGUCAAAGGCAGACACUUAACCGACUGAGCCACCCAGGUGCCCCCAUACAUAUUUUUAUAUAGACACAUACUAGAUAUGCACAUGCAAAUAUAUCAGAUUCUAAAGUCAGACUGUCUAGGUUGGAAUCCUAGGUUCACCCUCCCUCAGCUAUAUGUUCUUGGGCCAGUAUUUAUCAUCUCCUUCUCAGGUUCAUCAUCUCAAAAUGACAGGUAAAAACACUCCCAACAAAUGUUGCUUUGAGGAUGAAUGAGACAGUUAUGAUAUGGCAAGCUCUCAAUAAAUACCAGCUUUUACUCUUAUAACUCCCUUUUACUCAUUUAUGAUAGCAAUAUUCCUGAUAAUAAUUGCAAGUCCAGGAUCCAGAAUUUGAACAAUAGGCUUAAAUGUUUGAAGGCAGAUGGGGUAUCUUCCCUCAGUGCUAAAGACUGAAGAGUCCUUCAUUGUACUUCCUGUAAAUAGUACCUACCUCAAACUCCAGCGAUCUGGAACAAAUGAAGAUCUUUAACAGGCACAGCUGGCUAGGACAGAAGCAGCUAUGAUUAGGGAAGAGGGGCUCAAGGCUUACUAACUCAGAGCAGCCCCCUUCCUUCUGCAGGUCACUCAAAUACACAAGGAUCAGGGUAGAGGGAAAAAUACCUCUCUUUUUUGCUUCCAAAACAAUAGCUGCAUGAAAGCUUGUUCUGCUGUUUCCUCCAAGCUCACCCUUGGGUAGGAUCCUCCACUCAAUGGCCAGCCUUCUCAGCAUAUGUGGUCAGAGAGGAGGGGCCCUAGCAAGACACCAGCCUGGGAUGAUGAGCUCCUGUGCUGAGCAAGCCUCACACCCUGGCAGUCAAGGAUGGGGUCACGGGUUGGGGUGGGGGAUGUUGACAAGGACUUCUGCUACCUUACAAACCCAGCCUCAGCUCUUGAACAUCACCUUGGUCCCCGCCCCCCACACCCUCCCAACAGCAAAUGGACAACAGCUCCAAAUUCUUUUGGCUCAAAAUCAUCGGCAAUCAGAUGACACAGGGGAAAAAACAAACAAGUGUGUCGUUUAUUGUGUUUUAUUGUGUUAAACGGUUUACAUGGGAUAGCCUAUUUAAUGUAAUAUGUAAUAAAAAAUAUAGAACUUGUGAAAGCUAGGUUUAUGAAAGUUGAGUGGUUUGUUUUGUUCUUAAUUUAUAUUGUUAUUUCAUUAUAUCCUUAUUUAGAAGAGCCACAUAAAGUACACUGUAAUUGUAUUUUUAAAAUAUCUGUUCAUGUGGGGUUUUAAGUGAAUGGAAUCAAAAUCCCUUGGUUGAGGGAUUUUAGAUUCAGCUAGGAGUCUGCAAGGGCUAGUUGCCACAUAAUCUGAGACUGCACUGUCCAGUACAGUGACCACUAGCAACCUGUAGCCACUGAGCGCUCAUGGUAAUAAUUUACAUUUAAAAAACUGAAGUAGUGUAAAAUAUUCUUCUAAUAACACAAUUUGAUCAUUUUGGUAGGACCAUACUUCACUUCAAGAUUUCUCUUGCAUGAUGGUGUAUGUGUUGAGCAUGUGUGCUGUUUCUAGUAUUACUUGUAAGCAUUCCGCUAAUCCAGUUGAUGGCCACCUAUUGAUUCAAUUCAAAUUAUUUUUUUCUAAACACCAGUGUAACGUUCUGAUGUGUUUAUUUGAAUAUUUUAGGAAGACAGUGCAAGUCACAGUGAUACCCAUAAAUCAUAAUUGGUAAAUUAAAUGGCAUAUAUUGUUUUAAUUGUACCGCAAUUCAAAAUGAAGGCAUACUACUGAUGCUAAAUUGCUUACAGGUCCUGGAGCUAGUACUGUCAUGGAAAAGAUAUGUAAGUAAACGUCACAAUGAAUGGCAAUUAGAAUUUGCUGAAGUGGUGCAAAAUGAAAAAGUUGAUUUUUGUAUAAAAUUUUUAAAAAAGAUAAUAAAGUGUGCAAUGGUAAGAGGCAUUUUUACCAAACACAUAAGGCAUUUGAUAAAUUUCCUCACAAUAUUCAGAAGAUUGUUGAAAUUAUUCUUCAAAGUAGAAUCAAAUAUCUAAGAAAAAAAAUUUCCCCUUAUAGAUCAUCUAUUUUCUUCCUCUGAGGUUUUUAAUUUGGGGGGCCCUGGGUGGCUCAGUUGGUUAAGUGUCCAGCUCUUGAUUUUGGCUUAGGUCAUGGUCUCAGGGUCAUGGGAUCAAGCCCACAUCGGGCUCUGUGCUUUGGUGGAAUCUGCUUGAGAUUUUCUCUCUCCCUCUCCUUCUGCCCCUCCCCUUGCUCACACUCUAUAAAUAAAUACAUCUUUAAAGUUUUUUUUUUUAAAGAUUUUCUUUAUUUAUUCAUGAGAGACACACAGAGAGAGAGGCAGAGACACAGGCAGAGGGAGAAGCAAGCUCCAUGCAGGGAGCCCAAUGUGGCACUCGAUCCCGGGACUCCAGGAUCACACCCUGGGCCGAAGGCAGACGCUGUACUGCUGAGCCACCCAGGCUGCCCAAAUCUUCAAAGUUUCUAAUUUUGUUUCUAUUUGAUGAAUUCGACAUGUUACAAUUUAUAAAUUUAAGGUAUGUAGUAUGUUUCUUUGAUAAUUUUAUGUGUUGUAAUAGGAUUGCCAUUGAGGCAACAUUUAUCACACUAUGACUUAUUCACCAUUUGUCAUAAGUUCAUACUCUUAAACACCAUCAGUCUAUCUCCCCAAUCCCCAUCUCCUGCCAACCACCAUUUUGCUUCUCUGUUUUGUUUUGUUUUGUUUUUACAGGUUUGACUUGUUUAGAUUCCUCAAAUCUUUUUUUCUUUUUUGCAGCUUCACUGAGGCAUAAUUGAAAUUUUAAAAACAGCGCAUACUUAAUGUAUACAAUUUGAUGAGGUUGAAUGUAUGUAGACACCUGUGAUAUCAUCACUACAACAUGUAAUAAACAUAUUAUCACCUCCAAAAGUUUUCCCACAUCCCUUUGCUCUGUGUGUGUAUGUGUUAAAAACACUUAACAUGGGAUCUACCCUCCUAACAAUUUAAGUGCACAGUACUAUAUUGUUAAGUAUAGGCACAAUGUUGUACAACAGACCUCUAGAACUUACUUAAUCUGUUAUAACUACAUUUAUACCCAUUGAACAAUUCCUCAUUUUCUUCUCUCCCCACCCACCAACAACCAACUUCCUACUUUCUGCUUCUUAAGUUUUCUGCUUUCUUAACUGGUUUAAUACCUCAUGUAAGUGGAAUCAUGCAGCAUGAUUCCUUUCUGUGACUGAUGCAUUCAUUUCACUUAGCAUGAUGUCUUCCAGGUCAAUCUAUGUUGUCACAAAAUUUUAAGACUUUUAAAUAGGAUCUCAUAUACCUUGUCAGUUUGGCCAGGUAUAAAAUUGCUCUGAUUCUCACGUACAUACACACAUAUGCAUUCAUUUUUAGAUGGACAUGAAAAAGAAAGUAUUUCAGUUACAGAUAUUUUAUUAGAAAAUCAUGAGGAAAAUACUAAAAAAAAAAAAAGCCGUUUCUCAAAAAGAACUUCAGUUAAGCCACCAAACAAUUGCUUAUAAAAUACAAGACCUUUUUUAGGAAUGCCUGGAUGUCUCAGUGGUUGAGCAUCUGCCUUUGGCUCAGUGUGUGAUCCCGGGGUCCCAGGAAUGAGUCCCACAUCAGGCUCCCUACAUGGAACCUCCUUCUCCCUUUGUCUGUCUCUCUCUCUCUGUGUCUCUCGUGAAUAAAUAAAGUCUUUAUAAAAAUAAAAUAAAAUAC